UACGUAGGCAGCGAGCGUUGUUCGGAAUUACUGGGCGUAAAGAGUGUGUAGGCGGUGCUCUAAGUUCGGUGUGAAAUCUCCUGGCUCAACUGGAAGGGUGCGCCGGAAACUGGAGUGCUUGAGCGUGGGAGAGGAAAGCGGAAUUCCUGGUGUAGCGGUGAAAUGCGUAGAUAUCAGGAGGAACACCUGUGGUGUAGACGGCUUUCUGGACCAUAGCUGACGCUGAGACACGAAAGCGUGGGUAGCAAACAGG
rnacentral:rRNA from 1 species